rnacentral:tRNA from 2 species
GGGGCGUUAGCGCAGUUGGUAGCGCACAACACUGGCAGUGUUGGGGUCAGGGGUUCGAAUCCCCUACGCUCCA